rnacentral:lncRNA from 1 species
CUUCACUUCUCAUCCAACUUCAAUAACUCAAGAUUGAGUGCAUUUGGGGUUUUGACCUUGCACUGCUAUACCGAGAUUCAGCAGAGGCUAACUACCCCCAAGACUCCUUCCAGAGAACUGGGACCUCAGGAUCAUCUUCAACACCUUCACAGAGAGUACGGAGACAAAGCCCUUGCCACAGAGACCCGCCAUGCCACAACACCAGGUGGAAACGCACCAUUGCUUGAGUUGGUCCACCAUGAAAGUUGCCAUAGAAGCCUGAAGUUACCACAGCUUAUAAGGAAGUGGUUAUUGAUUAUGACGGAUGGAGAAAGUGUAAGCUGCCUGUGUUUCAUUCAGACUCAGACUAGCUCUGGUUAGAGACGUCAACUCAAAGGAGGAAAAGAGGAAGUUCUGCAAAAAUAAAUUCAAGGGUCAACUAGCAGUGGAUAAAAACACAACUAUGAUCUCUGUGACUCUUUCCUCUUUUAUCUGACAUUUUUUCACUUCUGCAUGAUAAAGAAAAUAGAGACAUGGCAUGCUGGAAAGAAAACUAAAGCUGUUUCUUUAAUUAAGUCCACUAACCUCGGAAGGAAGUCUGAAGUGUUCUUGUGGCAUCGACAGACGAAUGAUAGUAACUGCUAAGACAGAAACUACUUGGAAAAACUGUUGAUUUUAGAUUCAGAGAAAAUGAAUAAGGAAAAGUUAAAGAUUGAUGAGAAAGGGAUAAAAUGUGCUAUGAGAAUUUUUUCUAAAAUUCAUGUUUAAAAAAAAAUGAGUUUAUAAUGGAUUUUAGGUGAAAUUCCUUUAAUAAAGAGUUACAUGUUUCCUGACUAUGUAUAAGAAAUUCAUGAUUGUGACUCUGAGAGACUUGAAUAAAAGGACCCGCAUGUCUUUUGCCCUGUGAUGGCCUGCCUAAAUUGCAGGGCUAUAAAAAGGAAAACCACCUUUAAAAGUUUCAUCCCUAAGUUGACUUUGUCUUACAGAAGAAUUUCAUGUGCAUGCUAAAACACAUACAUAUAGCAUAGAAUGUAUAUAUAAUUUCCUGAUAAAAUCUUCUGUUUUAGUGUACUUACAUCUGGGUACAUAACCUCCCCAUAUCUCUUUGGUAUUCUUAUUUGUUCUGCUUUUCCAUUUUACAUAUUUUCCCCUAAGUGCCAAACAUUAAUAAAAUUGCUAGCAUUGAUUAUUUUUCCUUCACUAAUACAUCCCUUUGAGCCUGUUUCCCCAGCAACAAAUAACUGGGGACAACCUACCCUUUGCUGACACAUGAGAAUCCU